UACGUAGGUGGCGAGCGUUAUCCGGAUUUAUUGGGCGUAAAGCGUGCGCAGGCGGCUUGUUAAGUCUAAAAUAAAAGCCCGGAGCUUAACUCCGGUUCGUUUUAGAAACUGGCGAGCUUGAGUAUGGUAGAGGCAAACGGAAUUUCUAGUGUAGCGGUAAAAUGCGUAGAUAUUAGAAGGAACACCAGUGGCGAAGGCGGUUUGCUGGGCCAUUACUGACGCUCAUGCACGAAAGCGUGGGGAGCAAAUAGG
rnacentral:rRNA from 1 species